rnacentral:lncRNA from 1 species
AGAAGGCCAUGCCAGCCCCUGCAAAGAAAGAACGUGAGGCUCCCAACCAAAAGGCCAAACCAGUAUCUCAUAAGAAAGAACCUGCUCUGAAAGAGAAGGCCAUGCCAGCCCCUGCAAAGAAAGAACGUGAGGCUCCCAACCAAAAGGCCAAACCAGUAUCUCAUAAGAAAGAACCUGAGGGUGUGAAAGAGAUGGACAAACCAGACCCUCUUAAGAAAGAACCUGAAGCUACAAAAAAGAAGGCUAACCCAGCAACUGUAACGAAAGAGCCUGAUGCUCCAAAGGAGAAGGUCAGACCUGUGAAAAAUGCAGAACCUGAAUCUAAGGAAACUAAGGAAACCCCUGCCAGGAAAGGUAUAGUAGCUACUGCAUUGUCAUUCACAUUUCUUUCACUGUAAUAAAAUAAUGGGUUUAUAAUGUAAUCAAUUAUUGCUUUUAUUAAAUACAUAGUAAGGUUUAUUUGAUCUUGUUCACAUUCUCAACUAAAAGCUUAAUUGCAGUAUACAGACUAAAAUUAAAUUAAAAUAAGUAUAUGUCUAGAUUUAGGGAAAUAAAAGGUGAAUUGAAGGGUGCAUCGUUGGUCACUGAGCGGAGAGAGCACUGCGGUAGCUGCUCGGAGAGUGUGUCAGUCAGACAUGGACAAGUCGGGAGCCGCUGGACGUACUGUAUAUUUCACCAUCUCUGACGUCCUGCCCACCUUUCCGUACAGCAAACUCCAAUAACUUUGUGCAGCACCCACUUGGGUGAUGCUACUGCAGCCGGCAGGCGCUGAAAGCUCACCACACUUUAGUUUAAUGAGUAUUUUCCACUUUUACAAGACAGCCACCUGGAUUCUCAGUGCAUCGCGCAGACAGGAAUAAACCUCUCUCUGGGAAGAAGGGCAGGGGUGUAUGUUUCAUGAUUAACGACUCAUGGUGUAAUUGUAACAACAUACAGGAACUCAAGUCCUUUUGUUCACCUGACCUAGAAUUCCUCACAAUAAAAUGCCGACCGCAUUAUCUUCCAAGAGAACGAUCUUCGGUUAUUGUCACAGCCAUGUAUAUCCCCCCUCAAGGCGAUACCACAACGGCACUCAAGGAACUUCACUGGACUUUAUACAAACUGGAAACCAUAUAUCCUGAGUCUGAAUUAAUUGUAGCUGGGGAUUGUAACAAAGCAAAUUUGAGAAAAAAGCUACCUAAAUUCUAUCAGCAUAUCGACUGUAGCACUUGCGCUGAAAAAACUCAGAACUAUUGUUACUCUAACUCCUGCAAUGCAUACAAGGUCCUCCCCCACCCUCCUUUCGGCAAAUCUGACCACGACUCCAUUUUGCUCCUCCCUUCCUAUAGGCAGGAACUCAAACAGGAAGUACCCGUGCUAAGGACUAUUCAAUGGUCUGACCAAUCGGAAUCCACGCUUCAAGAUUGUUUUGAUCACGCAGACUGGGAUAUGUUCCAGGUAGCCUCAGAGAAUAAUAUUGACGUAUACGCUGAUACGCUGGGAGAGUUUAUAAGUGUAUAGGAGCUGUUGUACCCAGUGGGACUAUUAAAACCUACCCUAACCAAAAACCAUAGACAGAUGGCAGCAUUUGCGCAAAAUAAAAGUGCGUACCACCGCAUUUAACCAUGGCAAGGCGACUGGGAAUAUGGCAAAAUACAAACACAGUAGUCAUUCCCUCCGCAAGGCAAUCAAACAAGCUAAAUGUCAAUAUAGAGACAAAGUGGAGUCACAAUUAAAUGGCUCAGACACAAGACGUAUGUAGCAGCAUCUACCUACAAUCACAGACUACAAAAGGAAAACCAGCCAUGCUGUGGACACCGACGUCUUGCUUCCAGACAAACUAAACACCUUCUUUGCCUGUUUCGAGGAUAAUACAGUGCCAUUGACGCAGCCCUCUACCAAGGACUGUGGGCUCUCCUUCUUCAUGGCCAACGUGAGUAAGUCAUUUAAAUGUGUCAACCCUCGCAGGGCUGCCGGCCCAGACGUCAUCCCUAGCCUCGUCCUCAAGCUGGCUGGUGUGUUUAUUCAAUCUCUCCCAUAGCUCAACAUUCAACACUAUAGUACCCACUAAGCUCAUUAUUAAGCUCGAGGCCCUGGGUCUCAACCCCGCCCUGUGGAAUUGGGUCCUGGAUUUCCUGACGGGUCACCCCCAGGUGGUGAAGGUCGGAAACAACAUCUCCACUUCACUGAUCCUCAACACUGGGGCCCCACAAGGGUGCGUGCUCAGCCCCCUCCUGUACUCCCUGUUCUUCCAUGACUGGGUGGCCAUGCACGCCUCCAACUCAAUCAUCAAGUUUGCUGACAACACAACAAUGCUAGGCUUGAUUACCAACAACGAUGAGACAGCCUACAGGGAGGAGGUGAGGGCUCUUGGAGUGUGGUGUCAGGAAAAUAACCUCUCACUCAAUGUCAACAAAACAAAGGAGAUGAUCAUGGACUUCAGGAAACAGCAGAGGGAGCACCCCCCUAUCCACAUCGACGGGACAGAAUGUGGAAAGUUUUACGUUCCUCGGCGUACAUAUCACUGACAAACUGAAAUGGUCCACCCACACAGACAGUGUGGUGAAGACAGCGCAACAGCACGUCUUCAACCUCAGGAAGCUGAAGUAAUUUGGCUUGUCACCAAAAACCCUCACAAACAUUUACAGAUGCACAAUUGAGAGCAUCCUGUCGGGCUGUAUCUCUGCCUGGUACGGCCACUGCACCACCCACAACCACAGGACUCCCCAGAGGGUGGUGCGGUCUGCACAACGCAUCACUGGGGGCAAACUACCUGCCCUCCAGGACACCUACAGCACCCGAUGUCACAGGAAGGCCAAAAAGAUCAUCAAGGGCAACAACCACCCGAGCCAGUGCCUGUUCACCCAGCUACCAUCCACAAGGCGAGGUCAGUACAGGUGCAUCAAAGCUGGGACCGAUAGACUCAAGGCCAUCAGACUGUUAAACAGCCAUCACUAGCACAGAGAGGCUGCUGCCUACAUUCAGACUUGAAAUCAUUGGCCACUUUAAUAAAUGGAACACUAGUUACUUUAAUAAUGCCACUUUAAAAAUGUUUGUAGUUGUAGUGGUAUCACAAGAUAUCAUCACGUGACUCCAACUUUAAUAUGAUGGUUAUUAUAUCAAUAUUUGCGCAUAAAGACGUUUCCACUGCUAUUUCUCACAUAAUUCAUUUUACAUACUCAAAAAGAUCCCACCUUGUCUAACGUAUUUUGUUUUGUCGACAGUUUGCCAACCAAUUUUACCAACAAAUUUGCUGUUUACAUCAGCUCUGUCGUGACAUUUUGUACUUUGUACUUUACUAACAUAAAAAGGUUGGAUGGAAACCUGGUUAAUGGCACAAAAAUGUUUAGAAGAUUUUCAGAAACACAUAACAAUUGUUUUAUUGGUAUCCCUUUCUAAUAUAGAAAAAUCUGUUGAGAAGAAGCCUGCCAAAGAAGAGAAAGCAAAGGCAGAGCCUGUUAUAACAGACCCCUUCGCCACAGAAGAUGAGAUGCCCUACUUCCAGUGCUUUUUUGUGGAUGAAGAUGAGGCCCAGUAUCCCUUCUACCCUUUCUCACCUCUCCAGAUGUGAGAGCCCUGCCCAGUGAAGAGCACAGAGUCUAGAAAGAAAUGGGAUGAGAUGGGCGACACCUUUAGUGUGGAGUUAAUAAUAAAACAUUAAUAAAACCAAGCCAUGGAAUCCACUACUGCCAUGUUGCAGCCUAGCGUCCCGAGCUGGUCUUCAACAGAAACCUAGGACAGCAAAGCACUUUGAGUGAAUUCAUUGAGCUCUCAUGGAUAGCCAACAUCAUUCCUUUCCAAAUGUGUUCGUGUUAUAUUUUGUUUUUGAUAGCUGAUAUGGCAUGAGUUGAUCUAUAUCAGGAUAUCAGUAUUUUGAAUGAAUCAAUGCAUACUGUGUUUACAUCAGUUGCUGCAGGUGAGCCUUUUUUAGGGCCAUGUUAAUUUGCUUGAUUCAAUUCCCGCUUUGAUAGUUGUCAGUUUUCUCAAUUGAAUGGCACAUUUAAACAAACUGCAACACAGAUUGUACCGUUGGCUUUCAUACUUUUCAAAUUCUCAGCGCAGCUCAAGCAAUUAAUCUGUCUGUCGUCACAGUCAGUUGAAUGGGAGCUGCAUAUGGGAGCUGAGCAGUGUUGGUCUAGAAUUUGAGGGAAGAGCUCGGUUGGGCUGGACUACAAACUGCUGCUCUGUUGCUGUGGACUCUGAAUUACGCUUUAUUUACAUGAACAUGGGCUCUAUAUCAUUGCUAAGACAUCAGUGAGUCGUUCCAUCUCAAGAAGCACAAGAAAGAGGAUUUCGACACCCACCAUCUCAGAUUGUACUGAAAUUGUUUCUGUUAGGGAACAGAUAAGAUUAGCGUUCCUGCAACAAUAUUUUGCUGAAAUAUAAUUUGAUCUCUGGGAAAUUAAGCUAAUUGAUUCCACCCAAAUUGGCCAUUUUAUUCAAUUAAUAUAGACCCUAACCUCCAGGUUUGAUUUUUUUUAAAGAAUUCCUCCACCACUUCAUGUUAAAGGGACAGUUCACCUAAAUUAUGAAAUUACUUUUGCUUUCCUUACCUGUAAGCAGUCUUUGAAAAAAUUUAUUCAACAGUCCAUGAGUUGGUUUUGUUGUCCACUGAUUCAAAUGCAAACUUUUUAGCAUUUGUGACACAACUCCGAUGCAAGUCAAUGGUACCUGUAUUAGCAUUUUCAUGCUUCAUGUCCAAAUCAUUCUGAAGUAUCUAAAGCUGUAAUGUUACUAACAGAUGAUUUAGAUAUGAAGCUUGGAAAUGCUAAUAUAGGUACCAUUGACUUGCGUUGGAUUUGUGCCACAAAUGCUAAAAAGUUAGAAUUUCAAACACCGGCCAGAUAAACAAAACCGAAACAUGGGUUGCUGUCAUACCUUGUCCCUAAACUCUUUACAGGGUAAGGAAACCAAUAUGUAAUUUGGGUGAACAAUCCCUUUAACAAUGAGGGGGGAUUCUGAAAAAAAUAACUACAAGUAGGAACAGCACCAUCUAGUGGUCAGAACAUUGUAAUAUGAAGAUGUAGGAUGGGACAUUAACUAACUUAAAUUAUUAAUUUCUCUGAACAGGAAGAAAAAAACCACCAAAUUCACUGAGAAUACAUUACAUAGGAUGAAGAAACAAUACUCUGAGUCACAGCUCCAUACUAUUCGUCAGACAUAGAGAACUAAUACUGUAUACUCUUUAUUAGUGUGUGUGUGGUGUCUGUGGGUGGCUUUUGAUUCUUUCGAUUCCUCAUGUCUUACUCGUUGAUAGAAAAAAGUUUGGUCCAAAUCGGAUCUUAGGUAGUAUAAUUAUUGAAUAUUAUAUGAAUCAUAUAAUUUUCUUCUAUUCUUCUUCAUCAGUCUGCGUUUGUUAACUUUGAGGAAGCAUAAAGCUUUUCAUCAAAUUUGUAGGGACAUACUCACAUUAAAAGAAAUUCUGCUGGUGCCUCGAAGUCUGUGAAGUUGUUUCUGUAUUGUAUGUACUAUAUGUCUGGAAAGGAAUAACCAUAUCCUAUAUGUCCAUGAGAGCUCCCAGGUCCCAGAUUCUGAUCAACUAGAUAAAACACCCUCUGGCUGCACCACAGGUGACAAGUGGCAGAUUCAGUCAUGGUGUUCUGAAGUCUUAUCAACCAUCUAUACUUCUACAAAAUGCUCCUCGUUUUGAUAAGGGUGCUGAUUCUAAGCAUUCCAUUGUCUGAUCUUUCAGAAUGAGGUUGAAGAAUAAUUUUUAAUGGGUAACACGUCAGUUGGAAUGCACUUGUUGCAAUCAGGUGUCUUUGAAAUAUUUCAUUUUGUGUGAUAAUCCAUUUUGAACUCAUUUAAAGUUGGUGUUGUCCAUUUGUAUCAACAUAAGUUAGACAUAAUUUCUUGCACUGGAUUACACCAUCAAGGACCUUAAACUAACUGGAACAUGAGAGGAGAAUACAUAUAUUAAUGAUCAAAAUCAAUGUUUGUAUCUCGUAUCUAUUUAUUGAUAGACCAAAAGGAACAGCUGCAUAGCUCAUGAGUGUCACAGAGUAGUGUCCUUUUGGUAGGGUUUACACAACUGGCAAACUGGUUGAAAUAAGGUGUGGGAAAAAUAAACAAGUCCAGUUUACCAUUAUGUUAUGCGUAUAGUGACUUAUGAAUCACAUAUAAUCAAGUAAUAUAGUAAUAUAAACAAUAUAUUAUGAUAUUUAUAUAAUUAUAAUAUUAUCAACAAUAGUGGUAAUAAUAAUGCAUGUAUGACACUUGUAUUUAUUUUUGUGCUAUGUUAUGAACAGAUGUAUAACAUUUCAGAUUGAUUACUUUAUCAUCUCUGAAAGACAAGUUGGGAUAGCAGUCAACACAUAAACCUACUUCUACUUAAGUUAAAUUGCGUCUUGGCUAAUUUUAUGUUUUUAAUUAAAGUGACAACUUGAAUUUUGACAGUGAAGUACAUGUGUAGCCAAAUAUUGAUACUGUUCCAUCUUUUAGUUUUGGUACCUCUGCACAAAACAUGUAUUUGUUGCAGAAGAAUGUGAUACUUUGCUACAUGAAAUGCCUUUAAAUUCUCAUUUAGCCUGUACAAAAUGUUGAUAACACGUAUAUUUUUGUGGAGAGCAAAAGAUAAGACUGAUUGUGAAAUAGUGCAUUUAUGCUGAUUCCACUAAACAUGUUAAUGCUCCUAAUCUUUGUGUUAAAUGUUUUGACUGAACAGACUCCCAAAUGUAAUUUUUACUAGCAAAUACUACCUUAUUUGCUAUUCAAGGGCAUAUGAUUUUAUCUGUUCACUACCAAAGUAGUUAAUUAAUACAAUAUUUGCCACAAUACAUUUUGUAGCUAGCAUAGACUGCAAUGGUAGUGUUACUGGAGAAUACAAUUAGUAGAAUACAUAAUGGUGUCAUCUUGACAGUUAGGUUCUGUACUAUUAUUAGUAGUAACCAUUGUAAGCUUAUAACAUGUGCGGCCAUACAGAGACAGGAUGGUACUCUGAUGGCCCACCAACCUUUUUGAAGCAUUGUGCAUGAAGUAUUUUAAAUGUUCUCUGCUUUCAAGUGUUCAUUGUCUGGUGUUUAACAACAAUAUAUUGAUCUGCUGGAGCAUCAAUAUGACAGUGCCAGAUCUAUUUCAAUUGGAAUUAUGUGUAUGGCAUCAAUAAUUCAUUGUAAGUUGUAUUUGAGCUGACUGGUUCAGGAAUGUACAUUGUGUAAGGAAAUAAUAAGGCCACUGAUGCAAGGGAUAACGGGACAGAUUUGAUCAUAUCAAAUGCUGAAAAUGAUCUUAAACCUGAAUAGUUUGACGACAGAUUAACAAAUGUAUGUAUUGUCCUAUGCUUAACCUAACUAAUGCAACUUGUCAUACAUAUUGGAUUAGUAAACGUAACAGUUUAUGUGUGGUAUUCUUUCCUUUUCACCUUGUUCCUUGUGUGUUGAUGCCAGUAGUUAGCCUAGUGGUUAGAGCGUUGGGCCAGUAACCGGAAGGUCGUUCUGCCCCUGAGCAAAGGCGCCGAAGAUGUGGAUGUCGAUUUAGGCAGCCCCUCUCUGAUUCAGAGGGGUUGGGUUAAAUGCGAAAGACACAUUUCAGUUGAAUACAUUCAGUUGGACAACUGACUAGGUAUCCCUCUUUCCCUUUCCAGGUAGGCUAUUGAACCGUCCACAGUAUUUGACUUGUAAUACACACAUAUGAUCAGAUGAUGGCAUUAUAGAGUGGUCUAUUUUCUAACAUUUCAAAUAAACGUUUUUAUACUACACAUCUGUAUGCCUUUAAUAACAAAAUGAACCCAGAUCAUGAACUCUGGGAAAGACAAUUAGGUCAUUCAAUUAUUGAAUGUUGCUAUGUUCAGGGGUCAAGUGUGGUGGAAUAUUGAAAUGGUGUGAAAAAGAAUGAGAUGUUCAUCACUAUCAGUUAUAUUAAUAAUCUUGGAUGUAAUGUUGAUAGCAGUUCCCAUGCUUGUGAAAUGCCAGUGUCUUGAUUUUGUAAUAUGUCAGGUUUUACAACUCAUAAUAAAUUGUGUUGAUAUUGCCCAAGAUAUCU